rnacentral:rRNA from 1 species
AGAGUUUGAUCAUGGCUCAGAACGAACGCUGGCGGCGCGUCUUAAACAUGCAAGUCGAACGAUCUGUAGCAAUACAGGGAGUGGCGGACGGGUGAGGAACACGUAGGAAUCUACCUUGAAGAGCGGGACAACUUUGGGAAACCGGGGGCUAAUACCGCAUAGUACAGAGAUGUUAAAGGGCUAGCAAUAGUCGCUUCGAGAUGAGCCUGCGGUCUAUCAGCUUGUUGGUGAGGUAAUGGCUCACCAAGGCUACGACGGAUAGCCGGUCUGAGAGGAUGAUCGGCCACACUGGCGCUGAGACACGGGCCAGACUCCUACGGGAGGCAGCAGUUAAGAAUCUUGCGCAAUGGGGGAAACCCUGACGCAGCGACGCCGCGUGAAGGAUGAAGGCUUUCGGGUUGUAAACUUCGGUAGACUGGGAAGAAGAAAUACGUUCGUUGAGGGCGUAUAGUGACGGUACCAGUCUGAAGCCCCGGCUAAUUACGUG